AAUAAUAAAGAUCAACGCCAUUCCUUGUAACAACACUUCAGUAUCCUGUAAUCUGCACACCCCGGCAUUUAUUUAACCACUUCGGUGCAUCAUGAAAGCCCCAGGUCCUCUACCCUGCGGGAGGCGCAUAGUGAAGGCAGGUAAGCCCCCGGCUUCUCUGUGCAGCCUGGAUCUGAAAACCACUUUGUGUUAUUUCCUGCACUGAUGGAUGGUGUCUGAGGGUUGUGCUGUCUGCUCUGUGGCACUGGUUGGCUUGUUCAAGUCAGUGUUCAAACUAUCUCUUGCACUUUCAAGGGCCACUGGGAUUCUCAAAGAUGAAAGGACUUUGAGAGGUUAGGGACUUGCCUAAGAUUGGCUAAAAAGCAGGACCCAGGAUUCCAACCCAGGGAUGUUGAUUCUUAGAGGACGGAGAUGUGUCUGUUUCGUCCACUGCUGUAUCUCCAGC